GUUUAGAAUAAUGAUCACUUUUCGUAUUGAUUUUGAAACUGUGAUAAGUUUUAUUUUAGCAAAUCUAGUUUUUUAAAUAAUUACUAAUUAGUAAAAAACAAAUAAGUACACAUAACAUUUUUUUUUACAAAUUAUUAUUGGUUUUGAGUUUUAAUAUGUUCAGAAAAAUCUGUGUGAAAUUUAUAUCCAAAUUAUCAUGUUUAAUAUAGGCGAAACUAUGGAUUACCUUAUGUUGCCAAGUUUAAAAAAAUUAUAGUAAUAUUAUAUUAUUAAUAUCUAGUUCCACUUACGAUGUUCAACCAAUUUUUGGGGGGCUUUAAAAUGUAUAAUAAAAAAAGUUGAAAUUUUUACAAUAACUUUUAUUAUGGAACACAGGUAGAGUAUAUGUGGAUCAGUACGAGCUGUAUCCUCCUCACUUCAUACUCACUCUAUGUAUUAAAAAACUUAUAAUGAAUGAGUGUUUAUCCUAAAUUUGUUAUUGAUCACCAUUAAUCAUUUUUUCUGAGUAAAGAACUAAAAUAUGAUUAUUUUGAAAUAAAUAAAAGUUUAUUAAGUUAUUUCUUAUUAUUAGUAGUAAACAAUAAAAAAUAUGAUUUUAAUAUAGUCCAAAAAUUAUUUUUAACAAAAUGAUAAUUGAAUCAAAAGUUAUAAGCGUUUUCAAUUAAGUCUGAGAAAUGUAAAAAAAAAACAUUUAAUAAAAUAUUUUAAUAUGAAAUAGAAAUUUUUUCUCACAAGGGUAGACUACAGUGAUGGAGUCCUUGAUAUUUAUUGAUGUUAUUCAAUUUAAAUGAUAUAAAAAUCAAACGAACUUAAAUUUUUUUUUCCACAUAAAAAAGAAUUAAGAAAAAAAUGCAAAAAGUUCUUAUAGACUUUUUGUGUUUUUUACUUUUUCUCCUUAUAGAAUGUUUUAAAAAAGAAUAACGUUCCACUAACUUGUCUUCUACGAUUAUUCAGAUGUGAAUGUCGAUAGUCAUGCAAUUUUUGGAUGUGUUCAAUUUUAUACUCAUCGAAAUUGAUGUGUAUACAUUAAUAAUUUAUAAAUUAUUAAUAUAUACGCAUAAAUUUAAAAUGUCACUUAAUGUUGCCAUGAUAAUUUUUCGAAGUCCAAAUAAAAAUGACUACACAGAAUAUGCUCAAGAAUUCUUGAACUAUAUAGUUAAAUCAUUUGAUAAAAUGUAUGGUAACUUUAGUGUGUCAUAAUGUUCAUGGACUUUUACAUUUGACUGAUGAUAAUAACGAUUUUGGGCCCCUUAAUGAAUGCAGCUGUAUUCCAUUCGAAAAUUUUAUGAAAAAAUUUAAGUCAGUAUUCAAAAAAUGUAAAAAACCAUUGCAGCAAUUUAUCCGUAGAUAUGAAGAGCAAUACAUUAAUGUAAAGAAAAAUUUUGGUAGCCCUAAUUAAAGUGAUAAAUUUUAUGAAAAAAGAAAAUUACAUUGCCAGCGUCCCAUAAUUAAUUGGUCCCCAAUAUCAUUAGAUAUAUUGCAGUAGUUUUAAGCUUAAUUCAUUAGUCGAGAGAGAUAAUUAUGUAUUAACCAACUGCGGUAAAAUUAUUAAAAGUUUUGUGUGUCAAUAGAUUAGUAAUAAAUUAAUCUCGGUCAUUGUUGGUAAAUAUUUUAUUUAUAUAAUUCCAGCUUAUUCUGAACCUCUUUUGUCUACUCUACUGGGUAUUUAUAAAAUAAAUAAUAUUUCUAAAAAUUAUAUUGUAGUUAAGGAAAAUAAAAUAAAAUGUAAAAUGAUGGUUAUUACUGUAGCUGACAAAACAAUUGCUAUUCCAUUAGUCUAAUUAUGUGAACAAUCGUUCAUUUCACACAAGAUAACAAUGUCGAAGCAGUUCCAAGUACUUGGUUCAACAAAGUUACAAAUGAAUGUGCUUGACCUAAUAAAACAAUUCUACAAAAGCAAUACAAAAUCAUACACUACCUAAUAAUUCAAAUUUUUACUAUUUAAAGGCUAGACAAAUUAACUCUGCUACUUAUGGUAUAACAAAAUUUCUAAACUUAUGAACAAGCAAAAAACAAAAGAAAAUAUAGCACAGGAAUCUUCAGAUUUAUCAGAAUUUGAAAAUAUAAAAGAAAUGAGAAAAAACAGAGCUAGAAAAGAAUUUUCUUUUCUUAAAAAGGCUCAAGAUAAACCAAAAAUAAAAUCUCACCUUCAACCUCUUAACGCUUUUAGUAAAUCCUACAUGGUUGUUGCUAAAAAUUCGAGUAAUCAUAUAGAAUAUAAUCAUGUUUCUGAUGAUAACAGUUUAAAAUACUCAGAUUUUAAAUUAAGAAAUAAGAAAUUAUCAUUGCUCACAACUUCUAAAAGUCAUGGAGAAUCUGUGAGGCGUAUUAUGACAAAAAUGUUUCAUUAUUCAGUAUUAGUUCAUUUUUCAACUUAUGGUUUUUAAAAGAAACAAAGAUUUUCUGAUUUACUAUCACAUCAUCUGAUCAAAGAUAUAAUAAGGACUAAUGUCAAGUAUGGAAUGAUUCUUGAAAAAGAAAUUGACUGUGAAAUUAGUGUGUGGUUAGCUCAUUCCGAACUAUAAUUAGUGAAGUAUAGAAUAUACAUGAAUGUGUAAAUAAUUGAAUUAUUUGCAUUAUAAAAUAAAGAAUUAUUUGUUUCAUUUUUAACAGUUUAAACCAACUUAAUUUUUUUUUUUUUUUAAUUAUGAAUAUGUUAUGAUUUUAAUUUAAAUUGUUUAAAACAAAUUAUUUUAAUGUUAUUGUUUUAAUAAAUAUGUUAAAAUGUAAUUUUAACCGUUUAAAUCCAAUGAUUAUAUUAUGCUUUUAAAUUUAUUACUAUUAUUUCUAUUUAAGUUAUCUA